rnacentral:rRNA from 1 species
AGUCGACGAUGAAGCCCUUCGGGGUGGAUUAGUGGCGAACGGGUGAGUAACACGUGGGCAAUCUGCCCUUCACUCUGGGACAAGCCCUGGAAACGGGGUCUAAUACCGGAUACGAGUCUGGGAGGCAUCUCCCGGGCUGGAAAGCUCCGGCGGUGAAGGAUGAGCCCGCGGCCUAUCAGCUUGUUGGUGGGGUAAUGGCCUACCAAGGCGACGACGGGUAGCCGGCCUGAGAGGGCGACCGGCCACACUGGGACUGAGACACGGCCCAGACUCCUACGGGAGGCAGCAGUGGGGAAUAUUGCACAAUGGGCGAAAGCCUGAUGCAGCGACGCCGCGUGAGGGAUGACGGCCUUCGGGUUGUAAACCUCUUUCAGCAGGGAAGAAGCGAAAGUGACGGUACCUGCAGAAGAAGCGCCGGCUAACUACGUGCCAGCAGCCGCGGUAAUACGUAGGGCGCAAGCGUUGUCCGGAAUUAUUGGGCGUAAAGAGCUCGUAGGCGGCUUGUCACGUCGGGUGUGAAAGCCCGGGGCUUAACCCCGGGUCUGCAUCCGAUACGGGCAGGCUAGAGUGUGGUAG